GGGCGUGUGGCUCAGUGGUAGAGCGUCCGCUUUGCAUGCGGAAGGCCCUGGUUUCGAUCACCAGCCCGUCCA
rnacentral:tRNA from 1 species